UACGUAGGGGGCAAGCGUUGUCCGGAUUCAUUGGGCGUAAAGAGCUCGUAGGCGGUUCGGUAAGUCAGGUGUAAAAACUCCAGGCUCAACUUGGAGAGGCCACCUGAUACUGCCGUGACUAGAGUCCGGUAGAGGAGCAUGGAAUUCCUGGUGUAGCGGUGAAAUGCGCAGAUAUCAGGAGGAACACCAGCGGCGAAGGCGGUGCUCUGGGCCGGAACUGACGCUGAGGAGCGAAAGCGUGGGGAGCGAACAGG
rnacentral:rRNA from 1 species